GAUCCUGUUCUUUCUCACGUCUCUCUGAGCCAGGUUAACUGUGCCAGGACCCAGGCUGGGCGCUGUUCGGAGGGAAUGAAGACACGUGUCCUGCAUGUGGACAAGGGUCAAAAUCCGUCAUACUUUCAAUCCUGGGUAUCAAGAAGCCACCUGGGAAUCUAAGUGACCUGUGCCUCAGUGGAUUCCUCUACUCCCUAUUCCCAUUCAGUUUGACACCUACCCAGAUGGUAUCAGGCGGAGUAAACAAGUCAAAGGAAUGAAAAUGAUUGAGCUAUGAAUAACCCUGUUGUUGAUGGGAGAACCUAGUCCUGAAAUGGUAUUACUCUAGAACUUUCUUCUAAUAGUGUUUCAUGUUCCUCUAUCUCCAACCUUUCUCUGCAGCAUUUUUAUAAACAUGAUCAAAUCUUGCUUGCCUUAAAAAAUAAAGCAAAUAAAAAUCAUCUCCUACCCAGCA